GCUUAACACAUGCAAGUCGAACGAAGUUAGGAAGCUUGCUUCUGAUACUUAGUGGCGGACGGGUGAGUAAUGCUUAGGAAUCUGCCUAGUAGUGGGGGAUAACUUGGGGAAACCCAAGCUAAUACCGCAUACGACCUACGGGUGAAAGGGGGCUUUUAGCUCUCGCUAUUAGAUGAGCCUAAGUCGGAUUAGCUGGUUGGUGGGGUAAAGGCCUACCAAGGCGACGAUCUGUAGCUGGUCUGAGAGGAUGAUCAGCCACACUGGGACUGAGACACGGCCCAGACUCCUACGGGAGGCAGCAGUGGGGAAUAUUGGACAAUGGGCGAAAGCCUGAUCCAGCCAUGCCGCGUGUGUGAAGAAGGCCUUUUGGUUGUAAAGCACUUUAAGUGGGGAGGAAAAGCUUAUGGUUAGUACCCAUAAGCCCUGACGUUACCCACAGAAUAAGCACCGGCUAACUCUGUGCCAGCAGCCGCGGUAAUACAGAGGGUGCAAGCGUUAAUCGGAAUUACUGGGCGUAAAGCGCGCGUAGGUGGUUAUUUAAGUCAGAUGUGA
rnacentral:rRNA from 1 species